GGAAGGGAAGAGCGUGGUCCCUUUAAAUGAUACAGAAGAGGGAAAGGGAAGUGCUGGGGAGAGGAGGGCGUGGUCUCUGGCUGGGGCUCCAACCGUCAGGAACCUAGCAGAUACACAAGUGGCUGGACGUCCUAAUGAACAACACAUCAGGGGAAGAAGACACAAGCGCUGGUCAUCCAUAGGAGCACCCCAGCAGAAGGACACGCUGACAGGCACCCGGAAGCCAGUAGGCUGUGGACCAGCGGGAGGAGGCGGGGGUUGGCCUGGGCAGUCAGGGGACAGCCGGGGCUGCCGAGCACCCCAACUCCAGGGGAAAACCAUCUCCCUUCUGGCUGCCCCAUGGACGGAGAGCUACUUCCACUCAAUAAAACUUUGCACUCAUUCUCCAAGCCUAUGUGUGAUCCGAUUCUUCAGGUACAACAAGGCAAGAACCCAGAUACA
rnacentral:lncRNA from 1 species